rnacentral:lncRNA from 1 species
GUGAGCGGAGCCGGCGCCCCGGCCCUGCCGGGAGCCCCAGGUGACUUCUCAGGGAGGCGCCCCACCCUGCCCGCUCAGAGGGCCAGUGCCGGGUGGGGGUGCCCUUCUAGGGCCUUCGGUCGCAGGUGGGCUCUCCCAGCUGUGACGACGCGGCCCCGGCCUGAGGAGCCCCGCGGACAAGGUUGAGCGAGUCGUGGGCUUUUUUUCCGUCCCCACGUGGGCACGGCCCGGGCUGCGUGAGCUCACUUCCUCCACAUCUUAUCUCCUGCCGGGCGCGGGCGCUUCCCAUCAGACAGCAGGAGCCAGUUCUCAGGGUCCUUGGCUGAACACACAAGCUGCAAAGCUACAUAUACUCCGGCAGAGCUGGCUGCGGGCUGCAGACUGCAGGGCCGGUCACUCCGCGCAAGUUUGGGUUCCUGUUUUAGAACUGCCACCUAAGCCCCUCUUAUUUCAUCUUUCCUGUGGUGGAAACCCCUGCCCCCACCGGAGUGUGAGGUUGACUUUUUGGAAAGAGAGCCCUGACCCUCUAUUCUGCACCCUGUGAGCCACCGAGACUGAACCAAACCCAGGAAGCGGCGCCACCAACCAGCCUCGCAGAGGCAGAGGCCCUGGAGCAGUGACAGCACAGGAGAUCUGCUGGCUCGGGGGAAGGGGA